rnacentral:rRNA from 1 species
AUUGAACGCUGGCGGCAUGCUUUACACAUGCAAGUCGAACGGUAACAGGUUAAGCUGACGAGUGGCGAACGGGUGAGUAACGCAUCGGAACGUGCCCGGUCGUGGGGGAUAACGCAGCGAAAGUUGCGCUAAUACCGCAUACGAUCUGAGGAUGAAAGCGGGGGACCGUAAGGCCUCGCGCGAUCGGAGCGGCCGAUGUCAGAUUAGGUAGUUGGUGGGGUAAAGGCUCACCAAGCCAACGAUCUGUAGCUGGUCUGAGAGGACGACCAGCCACACUGGGACUGAGACACGGCCCAGACUCCUACGGGAGGCAGCAGUGGGGAAUUUUGGACAAUGGGCGAAAGCCUGAUCCAGCAAUGCCGCGUGCAGGAAGAAGGCCUUCGGGUUGUAAACUGCUUUUGUACGGAGCGAAAAGGUCUCCUCUAAUACAGGGGGCUCAUGACGGUACCGUAAGAAUAAGCACCGGCUAACUACGUGCCAGCCGCCGCUGUAA